rnacentral:rRNA from 1 species
UACGGAAGGGGCAAGCGUUGUUCGGAAUCAUUGGGCGUAAAGGGCGCGUAGGUGGCUCUGUAUGUCUACCGUGAAAGCAUACAGCUCAACUGUAUUUUGUCGGUAGAAACUGCAGGACUUGAGGCUGGGAGGGGCUGGUGGAAUUCCCUGUGUAGCGGUGAAAUGCGUAGAGAUGGGGGAGAACACUCGUGGCGAAGGCGGCUCUCUGGGACGGUACUGACGCUGAGACGCGAAAGCGUGGGGAGCGAACAGG